UACAGAGGUCCCGAGCGUUGUUCGGAUUCACUGGGCGUAAAGGGUGCGUAGGCGGCCAGGUAGGUCCGUUGUGAAAACUCGAGGCUCAACCUCGAGACGUCGACGGAAACCAUCUGGCUAGAGUCCGGAAGAGGAGAGUGGAAUUCCUGGUGUAGCGGUGAAAUGCGCAGAUAUCAGGAAGAACACCCGUGGCGAAGGCGGCUCUCUGGGACGGUACUGGCGCUGAGACGCGAAAGCGUGGGGAGCGAACAGG
rnacentral:rRNA from 1 species